CCAGAAUCAAAUCCAAGAUCUUUUUUUCUGGCCUACAAUGGGGCCAAUGAAAUGGCACAAACAGUUAUCUACAAGCCAUAAACCCCAGCUGGACUUCACCGAUCAGCUAAUUCUGCUCGAUUACCUGGUAGUUGUGUUAGUAAAAGCUCUCCGAGAUGCAUCUGCAUGGAUGUGAAAGUGUUUUAAAGUGUGCCUAGGCUAGCAGGAGCAAGAUGGCUGAACUACUUGCAACAGGGCACAGGCCCCAGAGACAGUCAGCACACUACUCCAGCCAGCCAAAGCCUCUAUCAGCUGGGCUCCUGUUGCCUGGGGCCUGAAGCCCAGGCAUGCAGCUGCAGUGUCUACCCUUCCCCUGGCCCUGUAUGAUCCUCCAACCACAGUCCCUCUGUACACACACCAGUCACCUCCAGCCCUCGGAGGAAAGAUCAUGCUGG